AUCAGUGAGGGGCCGGUGCUGGACACUGUGUAGGGACACGGGAAUGCAAAGUCAUACACAUGACUGUGACUGAUGCACUAUCUCCAGGACAUGGAGUAGCAUUUCCGGACCUACAGCAAGACGUUGGAUGAAGGCAUAGCCCCAGAAAUAACACUGGUCCUGUUCAUCAGUGAGGGGCCGGUGCUGGACACUGUGUAGGGACACGGGAAUGCAAAGUCAUGCACAUGACUGUGACUGAUGCACUAUUUCCAGGACAUGGAGUAGCAUUUCGGGACCUACAGCAAGACGUUGGAUGAAGGCACAGGCCUAGGAAUCAUGCACAUACACAGAAACAUUUGCCCAAAUUAUAGAGGUAACCUCCUUUAGUAUGCCCAGAGGAAGGGCCAUACAGUAGCCAUGGAUUCCCUACAGGUUUCCUCCCCUCUGGAGGUUUUUCCUGUCCUGAGUAUUAGUUACUGUACGCUCUUUGUGAGUGAUGGGAGGUUACAAAAAGUCCCCUACACAAACAUUUUAAUAAAUAAUAAA